rnacentral:rRNA from 1 species
GAUGAACGCUGGCGGCGUGCCUAAUACAUGCAAGUCGAGCGAACAGACGAGAGUGCUUGCACUCUCUGACGUUAGCGGCGGACGGGUGAGUAACACGUGGGUAACCUACCUAUAAGACUGGGAUAACUUCGGGAAACCGGAGCUAAUACCGGAUAAUAUUUAGCUUCGCAUGAAGCAAUAGUGAAAGACGGUUCUGCUGUCACUUAUAGAUGGACCCGCGGUGUAUUAGCUAGUUGGUGAGGUAACGGCUCACCAAGGCAACGAUACAUAGCCGACCUGGGAGGGUGAUCGGCCACACUGGGACUGAGACACGGCCCAGACUCCUACGGGAGGCAGCAGUAGGGAAUCUUCCGCAAUGGACGAAAGUCUGACGGAGCAAUGCCGCGUGAGUGAAGAAGGUGUUCGGAUCGUAAAACUCUGUUGUAAGGGAAGAACAAGUACGUUAGUAACUGAACGUACCUUGACGGUACCUUACCAGAAAGCCACGGCUAACUACGUG